ACCUCGGUGGUGUAGUGGUAGUACGCGUACCCGCUAUGGAUGAAACGCGGGUUCGACUUCUGUUUGAGGUA